UUUGGAGAGAAGUACUUGUGGUUUAUGUGUGUGUGUACGACGACGUCUUUGAACGAUAUGGUUGCGCUUAUGUAUGGUGCGGUCGCUUUUAUGUGACCUUUUCAAUUUGGUCGGCUCAUUAGAGAAUUGCUGACAUAAUCUUGUUUUUGAGAUAACUUUCAUUAGAGCCGUAAUUCAAAGCUGCAAUUAACAGGAAGGAAUUUUCAGGAAUCAUUUUAAUUUGUUUAAAGUAUGCCAUGUUUCUUAAUGUUAUGGGAACUGCGUAUUUGAUCGCUAAAGUACGACCAGUCUAAAAUAAAUCAAAUUUGUUUUUAUCUUCUUAAUGUGUAAAGUAUGAAAUCUAAUAUUUCUGAUGUAAACAAGCGUCGAGCCACGGGUAUUUUUUACAGCUGUUUAUUUGGUUAUAAGUGUAUUGGUUUACAUGUAAACCCGCUUCUUCUGAUUUUUGAAACCAUUUAAUUACAUUGGUUUACGUCAACCAAAUCAAAAACUAAUGAUUAAACAAAUUUAAACAAA